UAGGAUUCCCUUAGUAGCGGCGAGCGAACAGGGAAAAGCCCAGCACCGAAUCCCGCGGCCGAAACGGACGCCGGGAAAUGUGGUGUUUGGGAGGAUCCGUCAUCCUGAGAUCUUGCGGUGCGUCCAAGUCCUUCUUGAACGGGGCCACAGCCCAUAGAGGGUGCCAGGCCCGUAGCGACCACUGCAAAUAGCGGGAGGAUCUCUCCUCAAAGUCGGGUUGCUUGAGAGUGCAGCCCUAAGAGGGUGGUAAACUCCAUCUAAGGCUAAAUAUGACCACGAGACCGAUAGCGAACAAGUACCGUGAGGGAAAGUUGAAAAGAACUUUGAAGAGAGAGUUCAAUAGUACGUGAAACCGUUCAGGGGUAAACCUGAGAAACCCGAAAGUUCGAAAGGGGAGAUUCAGCGUGGCUCGAUGGUGGCGCAAAGAGGUCGAGUGACGGAUGGCGUACGCGUCGUCCGCGCCUUCAUUUCCGUGGACCGUCGUCAAACGCGUGCACUUCUCCCCUAGUAGGACGUCGCGAUCCGUUGGGUGUCGGUCUAAGGCCCGUGGUGGAGCCCGUCCGGACGGCUUGCCGUUCCGGACGAACCCACGGUGUUUCCCGGCCGACUCGCUCGACGGUAUUCAUGUGGCGCGGGGCCGCUAUUUAAUUAGCGUCCGAAACGUGGCAAGCUCCCUCGUGCGGUCGGUGAUCGGACCUGGUGCCGGUCCCGACCCCGAGAGGUUGUUGGCUGCGUCCCUCUAGGACAGACUCCGUUGAAACGCCGAUCAGCGACGCUAUAGCUUUGGGUACUUUCAGGACNNNNNNNNNNNNNNNNNNNNNNNNNNNNAGCAUGUGCGCGAGUCAUUAGGACAUCACUAAACCUAAAGGCGUAAUGAAAGUGAAGGUCCGCCUUGUGCGGACCUUGGGAGGAUGGGUAGCCGUUUCGAUUGCUGCCCCGCACUCCCGGGGCGUCUCAUUCUCAUUGCGAGAAGAGGCGCACCAAGAGCGUACAUGCUGGGACCCGAAAGAUGGUGAACUAUGCCUGGUCAGGACGAAGUCAGGGGAAACCCUGAUGGAGGUCCGUAGCGAUUCUGACGUGCAAAUCGAUCGUCGGAACUGGGUAUAGGGGCGAAAGACUAAUCGAACCAUCUAGUAGCUGGUUCCCUCCGAAGUUUCCCUCAGGAUAGCUGGCGCUCAUAGAGCAAGAGUUUCAUCCGGUAAAGCGAAUGAUUAGAGGCAUUGGGGUCGAAACGGCCUCAACCUAUUCUCAAACUUUAAAUGGGUGAGAUCUCCGGCUUGCUCGAACUGAAGCCGCGAGACUCGAAUCAGAG
rnacentral:rRNA from 1 species